AACGAACGCUGGCGGCAGGCCUAACACAUGCAAGUCGAGCGCGCCCUUCGGGGUGAGCGGCGGACGGGUGAGUAACGCGUGGGAACGUGCCCUUCUCUGCGGAAUAGCCUCGGGAAACUGAGAGUAAUACCGCAUACGCCCUUUGGGGGAAAGAUUUAUCGGAGAAGGAUCGGCCCGCGUUGGAUUAGGUAGUUGGUGGGGUAAUGGCCCACCAAGGCGACGAUCCAUAGCUGGUUUGAGAGGAUGAUCAGCCACACUGGGACUGAGACACGGCCCAGACUCCGACGGGAGGGAGCAGUGGGGAAUAUUGGGAAAUGGGCGAAGGACGGAUCCCGCCAUGAGGCGUGAGGGAUGAAGGCAUUAGGGUUGUAAAGCCCUGGGAAACGGGAUGAUAAUGACAGGACCGGGAGAAGAAGCUCCGGCUAACUACGUG
rnacentral:rRNA from 1 species